CAGGAGAAACGUUCCAAA
rnacentral:sRNA from 1 species